rnacentral:rRNA from 1 species
CAGCCGCCGCGGUAAUACGUAGGUGGCAAGCGUUGUCCGGAAUUAUUGGGCGUAAAGCGCGCGCAGGCGGAUCAGUUAGUCUGUCUUAAAAGUUCGGGGCUUAACCCCGUGAUGGGAUGGAAACUGCUGAUCUAGAGUAUCGGAGAGGAAAGUGGAAUUCCUAGUGUAGCGGUGAAAUGCGUAGAUAUUAGGAAGGACACCAGUGGCGAAGGCGACUUUCUGGACGAAAACUGACGCUGAGGCGCGAAAGCCAGGGGAGCGAACGGGAUUAGAUACCCCCGUAGUCCCUGUCUCUUAUACA